rnacentral:rRNA from 1 species
GCAGCACGGGGGCAACCCUGGUGGCGAGUGGCGAACGGGUGAGUAAUAUAUCGGAACAUAUCCGGAAGUGGGGGAUAACGUACCGAAAGGUACGCUAAUACCGCAUAUGCCCUGAGGGGGAAAGGAGGGGAUCCGUAAGGACCUUUCGCUUUCGGAGUGGCCGAUAUCGGAUUAGCUAGUUGGUGAGGUAAAGGCUCACCAAGGCGACGAUCCGUAGCUGGUCUGAGAGGACGACCAGCCACACUGGAACUGAGACACGGUCCAGACUCCUACGGGAGGCAGCAGUGGGGAAUUUUGGACAAUGGGGGCAACCCUGAUCCAGCCAUUCCGCGUGAGUGAAGAAGGCCUUCGGGUUGUAAAGCUCUUUCAGCCGGAAAGAAACGGUUACGAAUAAUACUCGUGACUAAUGACGGUACCGGCAGAAGAAGCACCGGCUAACUACGUGCCAGCAGCCGCGGUAAUACGUAGGGUGCGAGCGUUAAUCGGAAUUACUGGGCGUAAAGCGUGCGCAGGCGGUUUGGUAAGACAGACGUGAAAUCCCCGGGCUUAACCUGGGAACUGCGUUUGUGACUGCCAGACUAGAGUGCGGCAGAGGGGGGUAGAAUUCCACGUGUAGCAGUGAAAUGCGUAGAUAUGUGGAGGAAUACCGAUGGCGAAGGCAGCCCCCUGGGUCGAUACUGACGCUCAUGCACGAAAGCGUGGGUAGCAAACAGGAUUAGAUACCCUGGUAGUCCACGCCCUAAACGAUGUCAACUAGUUGUUGGGGAGGGAGACCUCCUUAGUAACGCAGCUAACGCGUGAAGUUGACCGCCUGGGGAGUACGGUCGCAAGAUUAAAACUCAAAGGAAUUGACGGGGGCCCGCACAAGCGGUGGAUUAUGUGGAUUAAUUCGAUGCAACGCGAAAAACCUUACCUACCCUUGACAUGUANGGAACUUGNCANAGAUGGCUUGGNGCUC